rnacentral:rRNA from 1 species
GACGAACGCUGGCGGCGUGCUUAACACAUGCAAGUCGAACGGAAGGGCCUCUUUCGGGGGGUACUCGAGUGGCGAACGGGUGAGUAACAAGUGAGUAACCAGCCCUUGACUUUGGGAUAACUACAGGAAACUGGGGCUAAUACCGGAUAGGAGAUCCUGCUGCAUGGAGGGGGUUGGAAAGUUUCGGCGGUUGGGGGUGGACUCGCGGCUUAUCGGCUUGUUGGUGGGGUAGUGGCUUACCAAGGCCUUGACGGGUAGCCGGCCUGUGAGGGUGACCGGCCGCAUUGGGACUGAGAUACGGCCGCGACUCCUACGGGUGGCAGCAGUGGGGAAUAUUGCACAAGCGGUGGAAGCCUGAUGCAGCAACGCCGUGUGCGGGAUGACGCCCUUCGGGUUGUAAACCGCUUUCGCUCAUGACGAAGCUUUGUGUGACGGUAGUGGGUAAAGAAGCACCGGCUAACUACGUG